CCUACGGGUUGCAGCAGUGGGGAAUAUUGCACAAUGGGCGCAAGCCUGAUGCAGCCAUGCCGCGUGUGUGAAGAAGGCCUUCGGGGUGUAAAGCACUUUCAGCGGGGAGGAAGGCGGUGAGGUUAAUAACCUCAUCGAUUGACGUUACCCGCAGAAGAAGCACCGGCUAACUCCGUGCCAGCAGCCGCGGUAAUACGGAGGGUGCAAGCGUCAAUCGGAAUUACUGGGCGUAAAGCGCACGCAGGCGGUCUGUCAAGUCGGAUGUGAAAUCCCCGGGCUCAACCUGGGAACUGCAUUCGAAACUGGCAGGCUAGAGUCUUGUAGAGGGGGUUAGAAUUCCAGGUGUAGCGGUGAAAUGCGUAGAGAUCUGGAGGAAUACCGGUGGCGAAGGCGGCCCCCUGGACAAAGACUGACGCUCAGGUGCGAAAGCGUGGGGAGCAAACAGGAUUAGAUACCCCCUUAG
rnacentral:rRNA from 1 species